UGAAAUUUUGUUAGUCAAACAGGAAGUACCAUUUAUUGUGCCCGCUCAUUUUGUGUAAGCGGUUUUCUAUCAUAAUUUAUGCGCUUAGUAAAAAACUAAGUGUAUUUUUCAGAGAAGGCUUUCCUGUUGAAAAACAGCCUAUUUUUUGAGGUAAUAUUGCAUUUUUUUGCAUUUCCUGUUAUUUUAUUUGUGUUCUAAAUGUGUCUCUGUCAUAUUUUUUGUGUAUUUUCUUUAUUUAGUGAUCUAUUUGCUUCAAAAUUUUGCAAAUUGUAGCCAUACACUUUCACACGAAUUUUUACCGUUGUUUGCAUCCAAGCAUGAACAGUCGGAUAUUAAUAACAAUAAUAACAUUGUCUAUGCUCAUGUCAAAGUAUCAAGCUAUGACCAUCUGACAGGUUUAAAUCUGACCAGUGAAUCAUGUUUAACCAUCCUUGGGCAGUUGGUCUGAGACAGCAGACUGACUGCACAACUGGUAGUUUUGAAGUUGCAUGCCCAGAACCUCCGGUAUGGAAAGCUUGUAUCGUGCAAUCAGGAUAUUGGGCAAUCAGGAUAUUGAAAUCUCAGGAUUUCCAGAGCCCGAUAUUUAAAAAGUUUAUACAGAAAACAUCAACACUGUACAACCAAUAAUCCAAUAUCAUGUUAGCACAAUAGAAACUUUCCACAGUGGAUUGCCGAGCUGAUUGAACCUUGGGAAUUCUUUUUACAAACAUUAAAAUUAUCAAAAUAAUUUAUCAAAACUAUCCUAGUUUUAGAGGUAUAUUUUGGUAUUUCCCUCAAAAACAUUGUCUACAUGUAUCUCAUUACAUACUUUUAAUGUUAAGCUCACUAUUACCUAGAUUUUAGAAAGCUUGUGAGAUCAAAAUGGCUCCACUACUCCGAGGAUUUGUACAAACCAGGAUAAGAAAUGAUCUCAUGGUUGGGAUGGCGUUUGGCAUGGUUGCUGGUUUUCUGUGGAAAUUUGGUUAUGCUGAUCCAUUAAGACGAAAAUAUGAAAGAUAUUAUAAAAAUUUUGAUGCAGAAAAAGCUGCCUUAGAAAUGGAGAAACAAUGAAAUUUUUUGUUGAUAUAGGUCUGUGUUUUUACAGUCUUAAUCCUUAGGAUAUAUCUAAUUAGAAAUAUGAUGCAUCUAAUUAGAACAAGGAUCUAUCUAAUUAGAACACAAAUGCUUCCAAUGAGAACACGAUUCUUCUAAUUAGAACAAAGAUGCAUCUAAUUAGAACAAAGAUGCAUCUAAUUAGAACAAAGAUGCAUCUACUUAGAACAAAGAUGCAUCUAAUUAGAACAAAGAUUCAUCUAAUUAGAACAAAGAUGCAUCUAAUUAGAACAAAAGUCAUGCAAUUAGAACAAGUUUAGAUCUAAUUAGAACAAAAUCAUCCAAUUAGAACAAGGAUUUUAUUAAUUAGAAACCAAUUUCCUUUAAUUAGAGCAAAGAUUACUUUUAUAUGAAUGAAAUUAGUUGAUUGAUUGAUUGAUUGAAACACACAGCAAAUUUGGAAAAUGUUUGAUUGGUGAAAACACUGAAGUCAGUAUCAUGAUAUAUAUUUAAUAUUUUUCCAUCUGACUCACUGCAUUCUGCCUUCUUUCUAGGUUCAAACCUUUAUGCUGGUAGUUAAAUGAAUUUGAGAAAUCAUGGUGCAACGCUAUGGACAUCUCCUGUCACUUUUUAUUUUUAAACUACUGUAUAGUUUUCCAAGAGUUUCUAUUUAUGUGAAAUAAAGGUUUAUGUGUUUUUGACGAUAUUAAAUUUGUCUUUCCUUGUUG
rnacentral:lncRNA from 1 species